GACGAACGCUGGCGGCGUGCCUAAUACAUGCAAGUAGGACGCAGUUGCGAACGUGUGAGGAACGCGUAGGUAACUCCCUAUUAGAGGGGGAUAACAAUUGGCAACGAUAGCCAAAACCGCAUACAUGUAGGUGGACGUGGGUUGUAUUAGCUAGGAGGUAGGGAAAAGGCAUGACUAGGCAACGAUAAAGAGCCGACCUGAGAGGGUGAACGGCCACAUUGUGACUGAGACACGGCCCAGACUCCUACGGGAGGCAGCAGUAGGGAAUCUUCGGCAAUGGGUGAAAGCCUGACCGAGCAACGCCGCGUGAGUGAUGACGGGUUUCGGAUCGUAAAGCUCUGUUAAUAGGGACGCGGUACCUAACUAGAAAGGGACGGCUAACUACGUGCCAGCCGCCGCGGUAAUAC
rnacentral:rRNA from 1 species